AUACGGAGGGGGCUAGCGUUGUUCGGAAUUACUGGGCGUAAAGCGUACGUAGGCGGACUGAUCAGUUGGGGGUGAAAUCCCAGGGCUUAACCCUGGAACUGCCUUCAAUACUGUCAGUCUUGAGAUUGGAAGAGGUGAGUGGAAUUCCUAGUGUAGAGGUGAAAUUCAUAGAUAUUAGGAGGAACACCAGUGGCGAAGGCGGCUCACUGGUCCAAUACUGACGCUGAGGUACGGAAGCGUGGGGAGCAAACAGGAUUAGAAACCCUAGUAGUCC
rnacentral:rRNA from 1 species